rnacentral:rRNA from 1 species
GGAAUCUUCCACAAUGGACGCAAGUCUGAUGGAGCAACGCCGCGUGAGUGAAGAAGGUCUUCGGAUCGUAAAGCUCUGUUGUUGGUGAAGAAGGAUAGAGGCAGUAACUGGUCUUUAUUUGACGGUAAUCAACCAGAAAGUCACGGCUAACUACGUGCCAG